AAACCCUAAGCGCAGUAGCGCUAGCGGCCAUCCCCAACCCCGACUCCAGGAGGCAGGCGCGUCGUGCCGCCUGCCCGCCUCCAUCCCGAUUCCCUCCAGGGUCCGCCUCCCGCCUACCUCUGUCCAGCCGUCCAGGUUCCAGGCACCGCGUGAGCCAUCCAGGGUCUGCCUCCAGGAGUCCAGCUGCCGCGUCCAGGCUCCUGCGGCCGGCGGCCCCAUCGCGCGCCUUCCGGCCUCCGCCCCGGCAGCCGUCCUCCUCCGUCGGUGGACUAAUGACGCCGCCUACUGGGGUCCGGGUCAUGUCGCCUCUACUGCUGGCUCGUUAGGAUCCAAGAGCUGGCUCAUCCUUGAGCCGCCACUACCGGUGGUGGUGCAUAGCACUCGCUUCCUACUCUAACUCCAACCUCAGGAUCUAAGAUGUCAAGGUCAACAAGUGGUUUGUGUCUGUCUAGUGCAACUCUUGCAUCUAGUCCAACAACAGCAAUUGAUGAUGGGGUUUCUUUGCCAAGUGGAGGUGGCACUAGUAGUGGCAGUGGUGUUGGUGCAGCUGCUGUAGGCGGCAGUGGUAGUGGCAGUGGUGGAAAUGGUGCUGCUGAUGGUGGUGGAAAUUGUGGUGCUGGUGUUGGUGGAAAUUGUGGUGCUGGUGCUGGUGUUGGUGGAAAUUGUGGUGCUGCUGGUGGUGGAAAUGUUGGACAGCAAGGUCUGCAAGGAACAUAUACAACAAAUGCCAUCAUUAUUGAGGGUGAUGAGCCUGCGCCUGCUGAAGAUGAUCAGCAUUGUGGGAAGAGGCAAAAGAGGUGCACAUCUGAUGUAUGGCAGUACUUUACCAAGAAGAGGGUGGUCAUUGAGGAUAAUGGGAAGACAUAUGUUCAGGUCUGAGCUCAUUGCAAGUGGCUAAAAUGCAAGCACAAGGGCAGAUGUGAGAGUAAUUAUGGAACAACUGGAUUUUGGACCCAUCCAAGGGUGGCACAUAGUAUAGUGAAGGGCCAGCAGCAGCUCAAAGUGGAAAAAGAUGAGAAGAAAGACAUCACUUUUGUGGUACCAUACAGGUAUGAUGAAGAUGCUAGCUUGAGAAAGUUUUACCUGGCAAUAGUCAUGCAUGAGUACCCAUUUAAUAUAUCUGAGCAUGAGUAUUUUGUUGAAUUCAUCAAAUCUCUGCGUUCUACCUUUCUAAUCAGAUCUCGGGUUAUCAUUAGGAAGGAAAUUAUGAACAUGUUCUUAGCUGAAAAGGAGAGAUUGUAUGAGUACUUCAAAUUUGUAACUUGCCGGUUUAGUGCCACCAUGGACAUGUGGACUUCAAAUCAGAACAAGUCAUACAUGUGUGUCACUGUACAUUGGAUAGAUGACAAUUGGUCUAUACAGAAAAUGAUUGUUAACUUUGUGCAUGUAGAGGGCCGUCAUACUGGUACAAAGCUGUCAGAGAUAUUUACUGAACUUAUGGUUAAGUGGUAUAUUAACAAGAGAAUGUUUGCUCUGACCUUGGACAAUGCAUCAACAAAUGAAGUAGCAGUCAAAGACAUCAUCUCUAAUCUGAAGGCCAAUGCUAGUGCAACAUCUUUGAUAUGUGAUGGAAUAUUCUUCCAUGUGAGGUGUGCUUGUCACAUACUGAACCUUGUUGCUAGAGAUGGUUUGAGUGUAAUCACACCCACAAUUGAGAAUAUUAGACAACUAGUUCUUGCUGUCAAAGGAUCUCCAUUGCAAUGGGAGGAGCUCAUGAAGCGUGCAAUUGUGUGGAUUGGAUACAAACAAGGACCUUUCACUAGAUGUGUCAACCAGAUGGAAUUCCACGUAUUUGAUGCUUCGAGAUGCUUUGUACUACAAAGAUGCAUUCAUGAGGCUCAAAUCGUCAGAUCGCUGUAGAUAUGAAAAAAUCACUCCUUCUCUUAGUGAAUGGGUCAUGGCAUUUAAACUGUUCCAAUGCUUGAAGAAAUUCUUUGAUCUUACUGAACUGUUGUCUAGUACUUUAUAUCCCACUGCAAAUCUGUUCUAUAGAGGGUUUUGUGAGAUAAAUAUUUUACUAUAUGAAUGGUCAGUUUGUCAAGAUACCACUAUUAGUGCAAUGGCAAGUUCUAUGAGUAGGAAGUUUGAAAAAUAUUGGAAGAAAUCAUCCACUACACUUGUUGUUACCUGCUUUCUAGAUUCUAGAUAUAAGAAAAGACUGAUGGAGUUCUACAUCAGAAAAUUUCAUGGUACCUCAUCUUAAGUUUAUGUUGAUGAACUUGUUGAUGUCAUCAAGAAACUCUACCAGUUUUAUGCUACUGCUGAACCUUCAUCUUCGAGGUCUAAAGGUGGCUCAAAUGAUGCUAAGGAUAUAGAUACAGCUGGCCUGUUAGUGGACAUUGGAGACGAUGAACUAGAGAACUUCUUAUAUGAGUCUAGUGGGCAUGAUGCUAAUGAUAUGAAUGAGUUGGAAAAGUAUAUGGCAGAUCCACCUUUGAAGUUUAGUGGUCAGUUUGAUAUCUUGGCAUGGUGGAAGAAUCAGACCGAUGAGUAUCCUGUUCUUUCAAAAAUAGCUCGUUGCUAGCUAUACAAGUCUCAAUCGUCGCUUCUGAAUCUGCUUUUUAGCGCUAGUGGACGUGCUGUUGAUCCUUUCCAUAGCCGUCUUGAUCCUGAAAUGGUUGAAGCUUUGACAUGCAUGAAAGAUUGGGUUGCUGCAGAAAGAAGAGAUAAGAAGAUUGGUUCCCUUGCUUCAAAGCUGAAGAUUGAGGUCAUUUUACUAUAUAGUUUAAGUCAUUUUAAAUAUUGUUUGCUACUGUAACUCUGAAGAUGGAUGCCUACGAUGUCGCGGACAGUGAUAAAGAAGAUGGGUCACAUACAGAUGAUCUGGCCUUCUUUGACGUGUAGAACUAUCAACUGGAGACGUGGUUGUGGCAUGCUUUUUUUUAAUUUGGACUUGUGAAUUACAGACUUGUGUUACUGUUGUGGCUGGAACUCUGGAAGGACUUGUGGUUGUGGCCGCGUGUUGUUGGCUUGCCUGAUCACAUACAUGAACUAAUUUUUUUUAAUUUGAACUUGUCAACUUGUGAACGUUAUGAACUUGUGAACGUUAUAAACUUGUCAACUUAUUUGCA